UGAGUACACCCUCCGUCCGGAAAUACUUGUCGGAAGAAUUCAUGUAUCUAGACGUAUUUUAGUUCUAAGUACAUCGACUUUUAUCCAUUUAUCUGACAAGUAUUUUUGGACGGAGGGAGUAUUAA
rfam:Triticum aestivum genome assembly, contig: Triticum_aestivum_CS42_TGACv1_scaffold_499405_6BL